rnacentral:rRNA from 1 species
AGCGGCGGACGGGUGAGUAACGCGUGGGAAACUGCCUAGUAGAGGGGGAUAACUUGGGGAAACUCAAGCUAAUACCGCAUAAGCUCGCAAGAGGAAAGGGGGCCAAUCCUUGGAAGCUCUCGCUAUUAGAUGUGCCCGCGUCGGAUUAGCUAGUUGGUAGGGUAAAGGCUUACCAAGGCGACGAUCCGUAGCUGGUUUGAGAGGAUGAUCAGCCACACUGGGACUGAGACACGGCCCAGACUCCUACGGGAGGCAGCAGUGGGGAAUAUUGGACAAUGGGCGCAAGCCUGAUCCAGCCAUGCCGCGUGUGUGAAGAAGGCUCUAGGGUUGUAAAGCACUUUAAGUUGGGAGGAAAGGUUGAAGGUUAAUACCCUUUAGCUGUGACGUUACCAACAGAAUAAGCACCGGCUAACUCCGUGCCAGCAGCCGCGGUAAUACGGAGGGUGCGAGCGU